CACGGUUUGCUCGCGUUUCGUCCGUCCGCCGUCUGCAGCUGCGAUGGUCGCGGGAAAACGGUUCGGCCGCGGUAAACACACGUCGUAGCGAUAAAACGAAAAGUAAUCCCGAGAUACGUACGGGGUACACUCGCGCCGUCGCCGCCGUCGUGUCGCUGUCCGUCAGCCGUCCGCCGCGUUCUUAUUCGUCUCCGCCGCCGCCGUCGACCGUAAAACGCGUUCGCCUGAGUUAUUGCCCGUGAUACGCGUAAGCACAAGCGCGCGCGCUCGCGCUCGCGCACGCCCAAG